UGGGGAAUAUUGGGCAAUGGGGGAAACCCUGACCCAGCAACGCCGCGUGAGGGAAGAAGGUUUUCGGAUUGUAAACCUCUGUUCUUGGUGAAGAGAAGAAGACGGUAGCCAAGGAGGAAGCCCCGGCUAACUACGUGCCAGCAGCCGCGGUAAUACGUAGGGGGCGAGCGUUGUCCGGAAUGAUUGGGCGUAAAGGGCGCGUAGGCGGCCCUGCAAGUCAGUAGUGGAAGUCCAUUUUUCAAGGGUGGAAGUGCUAUUGAAACUGCGGGGCUUGAGUAUGGGAGAGGUCAUCGGAAUUCCCGGUGUAGCGGUGAAAUGCGUAGAGAUCGGGAGGAACACCAGUGGCGAAGGCGGGUGACUGGACCAUAACUGACGCUGAGGCGCGAAAGUGUGGGGAGCAAACAGG
rnacentral:rRNA from 1 species